AUUGAACACUGGCGGCAGGCCUAACACAUGCAAGUCGAACGAGUGGCGGACGGGUGAGUAAUGUCUGGGAAACUGCCCGAGGGGGGGGGAUAACUACUGGAACCGGUAGCUCAUACCGCAUACCAUCGGAUGUGCCCAGAUGGGAUUAGCUAGUAGGUGGGGUAACGGCUCACCUAGGCGACGAUCCCUAGCUGGUCUCAGAGGAUGACCAGCCACACUGGAACUGAGACACGGUCCAGCUGCCUACGGGAGGCAGGAGUGGGGAAUAUUGGACAAUGGGCGAAAGGCCGAUGCAGCCAUGGCGCGUGUAUGAAGAAGGCCUUCGGGUUGUAAAGUACUUUCAGCGAGGAGGCGUUACUCGCAGAAGAAGCACCGGCUAACUCCGUGCCAGCAGCCGCGGUAAUUC
rnacentral:rRNA from 1 species